rnacentral:lncRNA from 1 species
CUAUAAUAAUGAUUCAAUUCGGUUAUCUGAUAUAUAUAUCAUUCCCGGAAGGGGCGUGGUGAAAUUUUACACUUGUAACAGUGCAUACAGAAGUCUGGAUGCAAAACUAGGUUGCCCCAUCUCUUAUGGUCUCUGAGUACUAGGCGCUCAUAAGAACGGACAUUCGGACAGACGAACGGACGGACAGACAGACAGAUAGACAGACAUGGCUCAAUCGACUUGGCUAGUGAUGCUUAUCAGGAAUAUAUAUAUUUUAUGGGGUCGGAAACGUUUCCUUCUUUGCGUUUCAUACAUACAUCCGUU